rnacentral:piRNA from 1 species
GAUGGUCACAAGGAUAGAUGUUAGGC